UUGUUUCAAAAUUAAUCAAAAGUAGAUUUUGUUACUAAUUAACAAUUAGCAUGAGGUGGUUAAUAACAAUUUUAGUCAUUGCUACUUUCUUUUCAUCCCAAUUAGCUUAUGCCUAUGAUGACAAUCCUCUACAAGACAUAUGUGUUGCAGUUCAAGACUCCAACACUUCUGUUUUUGUGAAUGGGAAGAUUUGUAAAGACCCAAAGCUGGCAAAUGCAGAUGAUUUUUUUACUUUGGUUUUAAUAUAAGUAGAGAAACAUUAUAUAAAAAAAUAUGAUUAUGCUACAAGAGUCGACUCUUUGCUAAAAGUCUUGAAUCUUGGUGAUGUGUUUGUGAUUCCACGAGGGCUUAUUCACUUUGCGUAUAAUGUUGGAAGUACAAAAGCUACAGUUUUUGCUAGUUUCAACAGUCAAAGUCCCGGAUUCAUCUUUAUUCCUGAUAUAAUCUUUGCUUCUGAUCCACCUAUUAUGGACGAUGCUCUUGUCAAAGGUUUUAAGCUUGAUAAGAAUGUGAUUAGACAACUUCAAAAGAAAUUCUCCUAGAUUUUAUGUCACUACAAAUGUUGUUUUGUAUGUUGAGGAAAUUCACAUAGAAUGAUAAUGACUUGUUUGUUUUGUGUCUCUAA